GUUUUAAUAGUUUAAUAAAAAACAUUGGUCUUGUAAAUCAAAAUUAAGGUAUAUCCUUUUAAAACU
rnacentral:tRNA from 1 species